AUAUCAAUAAGCGGAGGAAAAGAAACUAACAAGGAUUCCCCUAGUAACGGCGAGCGAAACGGGAAUAGCCCAACGUGAAAAUCUCCCUUUGGAGAAUUGUAGUCUAGAGAAGUGCCCUCUGUAGCGGGCGGUGCCCAAGUCCACUGGAAAGUGGCGUCAAAGAGGGUGAGAACCCCGUCGGCGCCUGCUUAGCUACUCCACGAGGUGCUUUCCAAGAGUCGGGUUGUUUGGGAAUGCAGCCCAAAUUUGGUGGUAAAUCCCAUCUAAGGCUAAAUACCGGCACGAGACCGAUAGCGAACAAGUACCGUGAGGGAAAGAUGAAAAGAACUUUGAAAAGAGAGUUAAAAAGUGCUUGAAAUUGUUGAGAGGGAAGCGUUUGAAAGCUGCGGGUGCGCCUGGGCUCAUGUAUCUCUAACGAGCUGCUGUAUGUGCCAGGUGCUGGUCAGAAUGGGUUAAGCUGGCGGGAUAACAGCAGGGGUUGUUACCCUGCCUAUGCCGCCGGCUUGACCGAGGCGUGAGCGACGCCCCAGUCCUUUGGAUCUGCGUCGCAAAGAUUCUGGCGGAAGGCUUUCAAACGGCCCGUCUUGAAACACGGACCGAGGAAUGCAUCAUGUAUGCGAGUUGGUGGGUGGAAAACCCAUGAAGCGCAAGUAACCUGACUGGUGGGAUGGCCUGUGCCUGCACCAUCGACCAACCAUGAGCUUCUGCGAAAGGUUUGAGUGCGAGCAUACCUGGUGCGACCCGAAAGAUGGUGAACUAUGCCUGAGCAGGGCGAAGCCAGAGGAAACUCUGGUGGAGGCUCGUAGAUGUGCUGACGUGCAAAUCGCUUUUCGGACUUGGGUAUAGGGGCGAAAGACUAAUCGAACCAUCUAGUAGCUGGUUCCCUCCGAAGUUUCCCCCAGGAUAACUGGAGCUUGUAUCAGUUUUAUCGGGUAAAGCGAAUGAUUAGAGGUUCGGGGGAUGAAACAUCCUUCACCUAUUCUCAAACUUUAAAUAGGUAAGACGUGUACGUUGCUUGAUUGAACGUGCACACUCAAUGAGAGCUCCAAGUGGGCCAUUUUUGGUAAGCAGAACUGGCGAUGCGGGAUGAACCGAUAGUCGAGUUAAGGUGCCCAACUGCGCGCUAACCUAGAUCCCACAAAGGGUGUUGAUUGAUCCAGACAGCAGGACGGUGGUCAUGGAAGUCGAAAUCCGCUAAGGAGUGUGUAACAACUCACCUGCCGAAUCAAUUAACCCCGAAAAUGGAUGGCGCUGAAACGCGCGACCUAUACUCGGCCAUGGAGGCAAGUGCGAGGCUUCCAUGAGUAGGAGGGCGUGGAUGUUGUUGCGCAGCCUGAGGCGUGAGCCUGGGUGAAACAGCAUCUAGUGCAGAUCUUGGUGGUAGUAGCAAAUAUUCAAAUGAGAACUUUGAAGACUGAAGUGGAGAAAGGUUCCAUGUGAACAGCAAUUGGACAUGGGUUAGUCGAUCCUAAGAGAUGGGGUAAUCCUGUAUCAAGAGCGCAUUGCGCUGCCCAUCGAAAGGGAAAGGGGUUAAGAUUCCCCUACCUGGACAAGGCGGCUGACGGUAACGUAAGCGAGACCGGAGACAUCGGCAACGACCCUGGGAAGAGUUCUCUUUUCUUUUUAACAGCCCGAAGGCCCUGGAAUCGAAUCAUUCGGAGAUAGGGCUCAGAGGCUGGUAAAGCACCGCGCGUUACGCGGUGUCCGGCGCGCCGUUGACGGUCCUUGAAAAUCCGGUGGAGCGGCUACCGUCUUGCCANGUCGUACUCAUAACCGCAUCAGGUCUCCAANGUGAACAGCCUCUAGUCGAUAGAACAAUGUAGAUAAGGGAAUCGGCAAAAUGGAUCCGUAACUUCGGGAAAAGGAUUGGCUCUGAGGGCUGGGCCUAAGGGUCUGGGUCUUGAAGCUUCCGGCUGUAUUGGACUGCCAAGCUGCUUCGGUGGCGAAGCGGUCCGCUCGUGCCUGGAAUGGACGGGCUCAGAAGCUUCGGCGUUCCCUAGGCGACGAACAGCCAACUCAGAACUGGUACGGACAAGGGGAAUCCGACUGUUUAAUUAAAACAAAGCAUUGUGAUGGUCCUAAAGGAUGUUGACACAAUGUGAUUUCUGCCCAGUGCUCUGA
rnacentral:rRNA from 1 species